rnacentral:rRNA from 1 species
GACGAACGCUGGCGGCGUGCUUAACACAUGCAAGUCGAGCGAUGAAAUUCUCUUCGGAGAAUGGAUUAGCGGCGGACGGGUGAGUAACACGUGGGUAACCUGCCUUAUAGUGGGGGAUAGCCUUUCGAAAGGAAGAUUAAUACCGCAUAAUAUUGUGGUUUCGCAUGAAACAACAAUUAAAGAUUUAUCGCUAUAAGAUGGACCCGCGGCGCAUUAGCUAGUUGGUGGGGUAACGGCCUACCAAGGCGACGAUGCGUAGCCGACCUGAGAGGGUGAUCGGCCACAUUGGGACUGAGACACGGCCCAGACUCCUACGGGAGGCAGCAGUGGGGAAUAUUGCACAAUGGGGGAAACCCUGAUGCAGCAACGCCGCGUGAGUGAUGACGGUCUUCGGAUUGUAAAGCUCUGUCUUUAGGGACGAUAAUGACGGUACCUAAGGAGGAAGCCACGGCUAACUACGUG